GUCACUGACGAGUUUGAUCAUGGCUCAGGAUGAACGCUGACAGAAUGCUUAACACAUGCAAGUCGACUAGAAAGAGUCUUCGGACUUAAGUAAAGUGGCGGACGGGUGAGUAACGCGUAAAGAACCUGCCCUUUAGCCUGGGAUAACAUUCCGAAAGGAGUGCUAAUACCGGAUAUUAUUUAUGUAAGGCAUCUUAUGUAAAUGAAAGCUAAGGCGCUAAAGGAGGGCUUUGCGUCCUAUUAGCUAGUUGGUGAGGUAAUGGCUCACCAAGGCGACGAUAGGUAGCCGGCCUGAGAGGGUGAACGGCCACAAGGGGACUGAGACACGGCCCUUACUCCUACGGGAGGCAGCAGUGGGGAAUAUUGGACAAUGGGCAAAGGCCUGAUCCAGCAAUUCUGUGUGGACGAUGAAGGUUUUAGGAUCGUAAAGUCCUUUCAGUUGGGAAGAAAAGUAUGACGGUACCAACAGAAGAAGCAACGGCUAAUUACGUG
rnacentral:rRNA from 1 species